rnacentral:rRNA from 1 species
GGCGAACGCUGGCGGCGUGCUUAACACAUGCAAGUCGAACGGUGAAGCGCCUUCCUUUUUGGUGGGUGUGGAUGAGUGGCGAACGGGUGAGUAACACGUGAGUAACCUGCCCCCUUCUUCUGGAUAACCGCAUGAAAGUGUGGCUAAUACGGGAUAUUCUGGGCCUGUCGCAUGAUGGGUCUGGGAAAGAUAUUGUUUCGGUGGGGGAUGGGCUCGCGGCCUAUCAGCUUGUUGGUGGGGUGAUGGCCUACCAAGGCGGUGACGGGUAGCCGGCCUGAGAGGGUGGACGGUCACACUGGGACUGAGACACGGCCCAGACUCCUACGGGAGGCAGCAGUGGGGAAUAUUGCACAAUGGGCGCAAGCCUGAUGCAGCGACGCCGCGUGAGGGAUGGAGGCCUUCGGGUUGUGAACCUCUUUCGCCAGUGAAGCAGGCCUGCCUCGUUUGUGGGUGGGUUGACGGUAGCUGGAGAAGAAGCGCCGGCUAACUACGUG